rnacentral:rRNA from 1 species
GAUGAACGCUAGCGGCAGGCCUAAUACAUGCAAGUCGAACGGGAUCUGAGGGUAGCUUGCUACCCGAUUUGAGAGUGGCGCACGGGUGCGUAACGCGUGAGCAACCUACCCAUAUCAGGGGGAUAGCCCGAAGAAAUUCGGAUUAACACCGCAUAAUAAUACGCUAACACAUGUUGAUGUAUUUAAAUAUUUAUAGGAUAUGGAUGGGCUCGCGUGAAAUUAGCUAGUUGGUAAGGUAACGGCUUACCAAGGCGACGAUGUCUAGGGGCUCUGAGAGGAGAAUCCCCCACACUGGUACUGAGACACGGACCAGACUCCUACGGGAGGCAGCAGUAAGGAAUAUUGGUCAAUGGGCGCAAGCCUGAACCAGCCAUGCCGCGUGCAGGAUGACUGCCCUAUGGGUUGUAAACUGCUUUUGUUAGGGAAUAAACCUUCUUACGUGUAAGGAGCUGAAUGUACCUAAAGAAUAAGGAUCGGCUAACUCCGUGCCAGCAGCCGCCGUAA